GAGCAGAGUUCUUUAACACCCGGGCGGAAAUUUCUGGCUAAUGCAGGCUGAGGGUAGUUUGCCACCUUAAGGAAACGAUAUUCCUCAACUUUAAGAUGGGAGAGUAAUAGUACCUUCUUCAUAAUGUUGCUGUGUGGAUUAAAUGAAAACAAGCAAAGUGCACAGAAAGGUGUCAGGCUCACGAUGGUAUCAGUCCUGACAUAGAGAAUUGGAAUUAAAAGAUGUGGAGAAGGCAGCAAGUCUUACAGAAAAUAUGAUUGCUUUUAAUAACAAAACCCAUUAGAUGCUUCCAGUCACUGAGGAGAGAAAUAGAAAAACAAAUUGAACUCAAAGGAUAAAGUUUGAUUAUGAGAAGUCUGAAGCCUGGAGAAAUCAAGUGACUUGCCUAAGGAUACCCAGCUA